CCUCGGCCCGAGUUGUAAUUUGCAGAGGAUGCUUCUGGCGCGGUGCCUUCCGAGUUCCCUGGAACGGGACGCCACAGAGGGUGAGAGCCCCGUAUGGUCGGACACCAAGCCUGUGUGAAGCUCCUUCGACGAGUCGAGUAGUUUGGGAAUGCUGCUCAAAAUGGGAGGUAAAUCUCUUCUAAAGCUAAAUACCGGCCAGAGACCGAUAGCGCACAAGUAGAGUGAUCGAAAGAUGAAAAGCACCUUGAAAAGGGGGUUAAACAGUACGUGAAAUUGUUGAAAGGGAAGCGCUUGUGACCAGACUUGUGCCGGGCGGCUCAUCAGGGGUUCUCCCCUGUGUACUCCGCCCGGUUCAGGCCAGCAUCGGUUUUCGCUGGGGGAUAAGAACGGUGGGAACGUGGCCCCCCCUCGGGGGGGUGUUAUAGCCCGCCGUACGAUACCCUAGCGGGGACCGAGGUUCGCGCUCCGCAAGGAUGCUGGCGUAAUGGUCAUCAGCGACCCGUCUU
rnacentral:rRNA from 1 species